rnacentral:rRNA from 1 species
CUGACACAGGUGGCUGCAUGGCUGUCGUCAGCUCGUGUCGUGAGAUGUUGGGUUAAGUCCGUAACGAGCGCAACCCUUGUCCUUAGUUACCAGCACGUUAUGGUGGGCACUCUAAGGAGACUGCCGGUGACAAACCGGAGGAAGGUGGGGGAGUGACGUCAAGUCAUCAUGGCCCUUACGGCCUGGGCUACACACGUGCUACAAUGGUCGGUACAAAGGGUUGCCAAGCCGCGAGGUGGAGCUAAUCCCAUAAAACCGAUCGUAGUCCGGAUCGCAGUCUGCAACUCGACUGCGUGAAGUCGGAAUCGCUAGUAAUCGUGAAUCAGAAUGUCACGGUGAAUACGUUCCCGGGCCUU